CUUAAGGCUGGAAAUGGACCAAGGGAAAAGCAAGAGGAAGUUGAAACUGGGUGUAAAGUAGGUGGAGGGUCAUCGGUGAAAGAAGUAGAUGGAGGUGAUAAGGAAAGAGAGGAUCUGGCUCUUUUAAGGGAAGGUUUGGUAGUUUUUGAAGGAGUGGAAAACACACAGGGAAGGGUUGCAGUUGAAAGGAUUGCGGAAGUACGGGGCUUAGGAGGAGGGAGAGAAGGUAAAAGAUGGAGGAGGGUCAAUUGGUUUAGGGUCUAAGGCUGAAGAAGGAGGAAUUUCCACAUCCAUAGGACCAGAGGAAGAAGCAUCAGUUCGGGCUUUUGGCACAGGUACAUAGAUUUCGUUUUGGCCAUUCUUUGCAACCUUUAUGUGUUGCUUACCAUUCUUUUUAGCAGGAGUUUUAUGAACUGAUUGCUUUCCUUUGGCAUGAGAAUCAUCUUGGACGUUUACUGGAGGUGUGAACUGUAAGCAACUCUUGAGGAUGUGCCCUAGUUCAUGACAGUGAGAGCAUGUGGGAGGAGUCCAUGGAUAAUCAACAAGCACCUCAACAACUUCUCCAUUAUGCCUUUCAAAUUCUACAAUCUUCGGCAGGGGCUGAGUAAGAUCCACUUCAACCU
rnacentral:lncRNA from 1 species